rnacentral:rRNA from 1 species
GCAGUCGACGGCAGCACAGUAAGAGCUUGCUCUUAUGGGUGGCGAGUGGCGGACGGGUGAGGAAUACAUCGGAAUCUACCUUUUCGUGGGGGAUAACGUAGGGAAACUUACGCUAAUACCGCAUACGACCUUCGGGUGAAAGCAGGGGACCUUCGGGCCUUGCGCGGAUAGAUGAGCCGAUGUCGGAUUAGCUAGUUGGCGGGGUAAAGGCCCACCAAGGCGACGAUCCGUAGCUGGUCUGAGAGGAUGAUCAGCCACUCUGGAACUGAGACACGGUCCAGACUCCUACGGGAGGCAGCAGUGGGGAAUAUUGGACAAUGGGCGCAAGCCUGAUCCAGCCAUACCGCGUGGGUGAAGAAGGCCUUCGGGUUGUAAAGCCCUUUUGUUGGGAAAGAAAAGCAGUCCAUUAAUACUCGGUUGUUCUGACGGUACCCAAAGAAUAAGCACCGGCUAACUUCGUGCCAGCAGCCGCGGUAAUACGAAGGGUGCAAGCGUUACUCGGAAUUACUGGGCGUAAAGCGUGCGUAGGUGGUUGUUUAAGUCUGUUGUGAAAGCCCUGGGCUCAACCUGGGAAUUGCAGUGGAUACUGGGCGACUAGAGUGUGGUAGAGGGUAGUGGAAUUC